GCCCAGCUAGCUCAGUCGGUAGAGCAGNGGACUGAANAUCCCCGUGUCGGUAGUUCGGUUCCGCCUCUGGGCACCA
rnacentral:tRNA from 1 species